GGAGGUAGUGACAAUAAAUCACAAUGCGGAACAUUUGUUUUGCAAUUGGAUUGAGAACAACGCACAACACUUAUCGAUAAACAAUUGGAGGGCAAGUCUGGUGCCAGCAGCCGCGGUAAUUCCAGCUCCAAUAGCGUAUAUUAACGUUGUUGCAGUUAAAAAGCUCGUAGUUGAAGUGAAGUAUGAAACCUUAACGUUUUCAUUUGAAUUUGUUUUGGUUUGAUACUCUUUCCAAUUUGUGUGCAUGGGUAUUCAUUUAUCUGUGUAGGCAUUUGGUCAUUUACUGUGAGAAAAUUAGAGUGUUCAAAGCAUACGUUUGUUUGAAUACAUUAGCAUGGAAUAAUUCGAAAAGGCUUUCAUGUUCGAUUUGAUUGGUUUGUUCGUGAAGGCAAGAUUAAAAGGGACAGUUGGGGGUAUUCAUAUUCAAUAGUCAGAGGUGAAAUUCUCGGAUUUAUGGAAGAUGAACAAGUGCGAAAGCA
rnacentral:rRNA from 1 species